GUCAGCCUGCCCAGUGACCCUGUUCAACGGCCGCGGUAUUCUAACCGUGCAAAGGUAGCGUAAUCACUUGUCUUCUAAAUAAAGACUAGUAUGAAAGGCAUCACGAGGAUUAAGCUGUCUCCUCUUUCUAAUCAGUGAACCUAAUCUCCCCGUGAAGAAGCGGGGAUUAAAAUAUAAGACGAGAAGACCCUGUGGAGCUUAAAACUUUAUAACACUUACCACUAUAUCUAACUACUACGGUACCUCAUCUAAAUGGCAUCCUGAUUAUACGUUUUUGGUUGGGGUGACCGCGGAGAAAAACUCAUCCUCCACAAUGAAAGGGAACUUCCCCCUAAGCAAUAAAUUACAACUUUAUGCAUCAAAAAAUUGACGUCAUCGACCCAAUAAUUGAUCAAUGAACCAAGUUACCCCAGGGAUAACAGCACAAUCCGCUUUGAGAGCCCCUAUCGACAAGCGGGCUUAUGACCUCGAUGUUGGAUCGGGAUAUCCUAGUGGUGCAGCCGCUACUAAGGGUUCGUUUGUUCAACGAUUAAAACCCC
rnacentral:rRNA from 1 species